UACGUAGGGUGCGAGCGUUAUCCGGAUUUAUUGGGUUUAAAGGGUGCGCAGGCGGGAGAUUAAGUCGGCGGUGAAAUUUUGCAGCUCAACUGUAAAAGUGCCUUCGAAACUGGUUUCCUUGAGUGUAGAUGAAGUAGGCGGAAUUUGUGGUGUAGCGGUGAAAUGCAUAGAUAUCGCGAGGAACUCCGAUUGCGCAGGCAGCUUACUAAACUACUACUGACGCUCAGGCACGAAGGCGUGGGGAUCAAACAGGAUUAGAUACCCGGGUAGU
rnacentral:rRNA from 1 species